rnacentral:rRNA from 1 species
UAGGGAAUCUUCGGCAAUGGGGGGCAACCCUGACCGAGCAACGCCGCGUGAGUGAAGAAGGUUUUCGGAUCGUAAAGCUCUGUUGUAAGAGAAGAACGUGUGUGAGAGUGGAAAGUUCACACAGUGACGGUAACUUACCAGAAAGGGACGGCUAACUACGUGCCAGCAGCCGCGGUAAUACGUAGGUCCCGAGCGUUGUCCGGAUUUAUUGGGCGUAAAGCGAGCGCAGGCGGUUUAAUAAGUCUGAAGUUAAAGGCAGUGGCUUAACCAUUGUUCGCUUUGGAAACUGUUAAACUUGAGUGCAGAAGGGGAGAGUGGAAUUCCAUGUGUAGCGGUGGAAUGCGUAGAUAUCUGGAAGAACACCAAAGG